CCAUUCUUCCUGGGUGCAGAACUGUAGAAGACCCUGAGGACUCCUGGGCUAGUGUGAGCAGCUAUUCUGCAUGGGUGCAGAUGGCUGGAUGUGAAAGAGACAUGCUCUAGCUGCAGAGGCAAAUUUGAAGUGCCACGGAACGUUGUCAAGAGACAAAAAACUUGGACUUUCGCCGAAAGUGGGACAAAGAUGAAUAUGAGAAACUCGCCGAGAAGAGGCUCACGGAAGAGAGAGAAAAGAAAGAUGGAAAACCAGUGCAGCCUGUCAAGCGAGAGCUUUUACGGCAUAGGGACUACAAGGUGGACUUGGAAUCCAAGCUUGGGAAGACAAUUGUCAUUACCAAGACAACCCCUCAAUCUGAGAUGGGAGGAUAUUACUGCAAUGUCUGUGACUGUGUGGUGAAGGACUCCAUCAACUUUCUGGAUCACAUUAAUGGAAAGAAACAUCAGAGAAACCUGGGCAUGUCUAUGCGUGUGGAACGUUCCACCCUGGAUCAGGUGAAGAAACGUUUUGAGGUCAAC
rnacentral:lncRNA from 10 species